GAUGAACGCUCGCUACAGGCUUAACACAUGCAAGUCGAGGGGAAACGAUGAGAGAGCUUGCUCUCUUAGGCGUCGACCGGCGCACGGGUGAGUAACGCGUAUCCAACCUACCCAUUACAGGGGGAUAACCUUGCGAAAGUAAGACUAAUACCCCAUGGCAUUUUAUGGUGGCAUCAUUAUAGGAUUAAAGAUUUAUUGGUAAUGGAUGGGGAUGCGUCUGAUUAGCUUGUUGGCGGGGUAACGGCCCACCAAGGCAACGAUCAGUAGGGGUUCUGAGAGGAAGGUCCCCCACAUUGGAACUGAGACACGGUCCAAACUCCUACGGGAGGCAGCAGUGAGGAAGAUUGGUCAAUGGGCGAGAGCUUGAACCAGCCAAGUAGCGUGCAGGAUGACGGCCCUAUGGGUUGUAAACUGCUUUUAUAGGGGAAUAAAGUGAGCUACGUGUAGUUUAUUGCAUGUACCCGAUGAAUAAGGACCGGCUAAUUCCGUG
rnacentral:rRNA from 1 species